UACGAAGGGUGCGAGCGUUGUUCGGAUUUAUUGGGCGUAAAGCGGGUGCAGGCGGAUAUACAAGUCAGAUGUGAAAUCUCGAGGCUCAACCUCGAAACUGCGUCUGAAACUGUACAUCUAGAAUCUCGUAGAGGGAGGCGGAAUUUCGCAUGUAGGAGUAAAAUCCGUAGAUAUGCGAAGGAACACCAGAGGCGAAGGCGGCCUCCUGGGCGAGUAUUGACGCUGUAGCCGAAAGCGUGGGGAGCAAACA
rnacentral:rRNA from 1 species